UACGGAGGGUGCGAGCGUUGUCCGGAAUCAUUGGGCGUAAAGGGCGCGUAGGCGGCUUCUUAAGCGUGUGGUGAAAGCUCAGGGCUCAACUCUGAGUCGGCCAUGCGAACUGGGAGGCUUGAGCACUGUAGAGGCAGGUGGAAUUCCGGGUGUAGCGGUGGAAUGCGUAGAGAUCCGGAAGAACACCGGUGGCGAAGGCGGCCUGCUGGGCAGUAGCUGACGCUGAGGCGCGACAGCGUGGGGGAGCAAACAGG
rnacentral:rRNA from 1 species